CCUUCUACAAUCUCUAUAUAUUCGCUUCUCUCCCUUGCGUCCGAAGUUUCAACUUUCAAGUAUUUUCCUAUUCCAUUCUCCCUCAUACUCUGUAUUUAGACAUCCCAGCAAAAAAAAAAACUUUAAAAAAAAAAAAGAGGCAAGGGAGAGUAAAUUGAUUGCGAAAAAAAAUAAAAAAAAAUGACAGCAGCAGAGUUGCAAUUACCUCCAGGUUUCAGAUUUCACCCAACUGAUGAAGAGCUUGUGAUGCACUAUCUAUGCCGAAAGUGCGCCUCCCAGCCAAUUGCCGUACCAAUUAUUACUGAAAUUGACCUCUACAAGUAUGACCCUUGGGAUCUUCCUCGUAAGUAAUUUUCUCCUUCACCUUUGUUAAUAUAAUAAAACAGUUCAAAUUUUGAAGGUGAAUUUUUGAAUUAACCAAAAUUUUGGUAUUUCUGUUUCAGAUUUGGCAUUGUAUGGGCAGAAAGAAUGGUACUUCUUUUCACCUCGAGAUCGAAAGUAUCCGAACGGUUCACGCCCAAAUCGAGCUGCUGGAACUGGUUAUUGGAAAGCGACUGGUGCCGAUAAGCCGAUUGGACAUCCGAAGCCAAUGGGAAUUAAGAAAGCAUUGGUGUUUUACGCCGGC
rnacentral:lncRNA from 1 species